AAUAGAACAAUAUAGAUAAGGGAAGUCAGCAAAAUAGAUCUGUAACUUCAGGAAAAGGAUUGACUCUAAGAGUCAGGCACAUUAGAUCUUGGGGGAAAGUCUCUGGAGCAGGAGGGCACUAGCCAGGCAACCAGCAGAUGUCUUCCAGCAUCAGGGUGUAAAUGCCCUUGGCAGGCUUCAGCUGUCUGGCAUGUGAUUAACAACCAACUUAGAACUGGUAUGGACAAGGGGAAUCUGACUGUCUAAUUAAAACAUAGCAUUGUGAUGGCCAGAAAGUGAUAUUAACACAAUGUGAUUUCUGCUCAGUGCUCUGAAUGUUAAAGUGAAGAAAUUCAACCAAGUGUGGGUAAACAGCAAAAGUAACUAUGACUCUCUUAAGAUAGCCAAAUGCCUCAUCAUCUAAUUAGUGAUGCACAUGAAUGAAUUAAUGAGAUUCCCACUGUCCCUAUCUACUAUCUAGCAAAACCACAGCCAAGGGAAUGGGCUUGAUAAAAUCAGUGGGGAAAGAAGACUCUGUUGAGCUUGACUCUAGUUUGACAUUGUGAAAAGACAUAUCAGAUGUAGAAUAGGUGGGAGCUUUGGUACUGGUGAAAUACCACUACCUUUAUUGUUUUUUUACUUAUUCAAUAAAGCAGAACUGAGCUUUACUGCCCAACUUCUAGCAUUAAGGUUCUUUGCAGGCUGAUCCAGGUUGAAGACAUUAUCAGAUAAAGAGUUUGGCUGGAGCGGCACAUCUGUUAAAUCAUAAUAUGGGUGUUCUAAGAGGGACUCAUGGAGAACAGAAAUCUCCAGUAGAACAAAAGAGUAAAAGUCCUCUUGAUUUUGAUUUUCAGUGUGAAUACAAACCAUGAAAGUGUGGCCUAUUGAUCCUUUAGUCCCUCAAAAUUUGAGGCUAGAGGUGCCAGAAAAGUUACCACAGGAAUAACUGGCUUGUGGCAGCCAAGUAUUCAUAAUGAUGUUGCUUUUUGAUCCUUCAAUGUCAGCUCUUCCUAUUAUACUGAAGCAGAAUUUGGUAAGUGUUGGAUUGUUCACUCACUAAUAGGGAACAUGAGCUGGAUUUAGACCAUCAUGAGACAGGUUAGUUUUAUCCUACUGAUGAAGAUCACCACAACAGUAAUUCAAUUUAGUAUGAGAGGAACUGUUGAUUCAGAUAAUUGGUUUUUGUGGCUGUCUGACCAGGCAGUGCCACAAAGCUACCAUCUGCUGGAUUAUGGCUGAAUGCCUCUAAGUCAGAAUCCAUACUGGAACAUGGUGAUGUUGCUUCACAUGUUGUAGUUAGAUACAAAUAGACCUACAGGUUCUGAACCUCAGCAGAUCAGUAAUGGCUUCCAGAAAGAGACUCUCAGGCACCAGCUGACAGAUUGCAAUGUCACCACAUGUGAGGAUAGAUUCUCUGCAGACAACUGAAAUGAUCAAGUGGGUCAUGUAAGCAGUCAAGUAGCCUAGUUAUUACAAGUUGCUGAGCAUCAGUCCAAUUCUUGACUUAAUUU
rnacentral:ncRNA from 1 species